rnacentral:rRNA from 1 species
AUUGAACGCUGGCGGAAUGCUUUACACAUGCAAGUCGAGCGGCAGCACGGGGGCAACCCUGGUGGCGAGCGGCGAACGGGUGAGUAAUACAUCGGAACAUGCCCAGUCGUGGGGGAUAACACUUCGAAAGAAGUGCUAAUACCGCAUACGUCCUGAGGGAGAAAGCGGGGGAUCUUCGGACCUCGCGCGAUUGGAGUGGCCGAUGUCAGAUUAGCUAGUGGGUGGGGUAAAGGCCUACCAAGGCAACGAUCUGUAGCUGGUCUGAGAGGAUGAUCAGCCACACUGGAGCUGAGACACGGCCCAGACUCCUACGGGAGGCAGAAGUGGGGAAUUUUGGACAAUGGGGGCAACCCUGAUCCAGCCAUUCCGCGUGAGUGAAGAAGGCCUUCGGGUUGUAAAGCUCUUUCGGCAGGAACGAAACGGCGAGCUCUAACAUAGCUUGCUAAUGACGGUACCUGAAGAAGAAGCACCGGCUAACUACGUGCCAGCAGCCGCCGUAAAAC